rnacentral:rRNA from 1 species
CCUACGGGAGGCAGCAGUGAGGAAUAUUGGUCAAUGGCCGGAAGGCUGAACCAGCCAUGCCGCGUGAAGGUCAGUGCCCUAUGGGCGUUAAACUUCUUUUGUGCGGGAGCAAUAAUGGUCACGUGUGGCCAGACGAGAGUACCGUACGAAUAAGCAUCGGCUAACUCCGUGCCAGCAGCCGCGGUAAUAAGGGGGAUGCAAGCGUUAUCCUGAUGUGUUGGGUGUAAAGGGUGCGUAGGCUGUGAGGUAAGUCAGCGGUGAAAUGCCCCCGCUCACAGGGGUGGAGUGCCAUUGAUACUGCCUUGCUGGAAUGCAGAUGCCGUAGGAGGAAUGUGUGGUGUAGCGGUGAAAUGCAUAGAUAUCACACAGAACACCGAUUGCGAAGGCAUCUCACGAAUCCGCGAUUGACGCUGAUGCACGAAAGCGUGGGUAUCAAACAGGAUUAGAUACCCCAGUAGUC